rnacentral:rRNA from 1 species
CUGGAGGAAUGUAUAGCAAUAGCUAAUUGCACCAACAAAUAGUUGAUGUAAUAUCGACUAUGUCGAAUAAAAUUCUAGGUAGAAUUAUGAUAAUGACAUUGUCUGCCUAUGUGUCUUGACCAAAUUACGUGCCAGCAGUCGCGGUAAUACGUAGAAGACUAGUGUUAUUCAUCUUUAAUUGGUUUAAAGGGUACCUAGACGGUAAAUCAAGCCUUAAACGGGACUAAUUUACUAGAGUUACUUGUGAGGGGGUAUUAAAGUACUGAUGGUGUAGAGAUGAAAUUCUGUCAUACCUUUUCUUAAGAGGGCAAGAACAUAUGGCACAGGUAUAGGCGAAAGCAUCCCCUUAUGUGAUAACUGACGUUGAAGGACGAAGGCUUUGUGUCGCGAACAGGAUUAGAUACCCCAGUAGUCAAAGCAGAAAAUGAUGAAUGUCAUAGAUUAGAUAUAUAGUUUAUUCUAUAAAUGAAAGUGUAAGCAUUCCACCUCAAGAGUAAUUUGGCAACAUUGGAACUGAAAUCAUUAGACCGUAUCUGAAACCAGUAGUGAAGUAUGUUGUUUAAUUAGACGUUACGCAAAAAACCUUACCACAAUUUGAAUAUUUAUAUCUAUUUUUUUUUUGAUCUUUUUUUUCAUUCUGAUCCUUUUUUUAUUAAAAAAAAUCAUGAAAAUAAAAAAUUAUGAAAAGGAAAUAGACAUAUUUACAAGCGUUGCACGGCUGUCUUCAGUUAAUGUCGUGAGAUUUUGGUUAGUUCCAUUAAAUUAACGUAAACCCUUACUUUAUUUUUAUAUAAAGUGGUUCCCCACUAGAUUGGAUAAGAUAACAGGGACUAG